UAUUCUUAUAGUUUAAAUAAAACAAUUUAAUUUCAAUAAAUAAUUAGAUAAAAUCUUAAGAAUU
rnacentral:tRNA from 1 species